rnacentral:lncRNA from 1 species
CUUGAACCAGCCAGACCUGCCUGAGUGUGCCAGUGGCCACACAGGUGCAGCUAAAUGAGUGGCCAGAUGGAUCUUGGAAGCUUCAUAGAAAUACGUCAUUCCAAGAUGGGACUCUGGCAUUUCCUUUACAACAUCCCCGAUAAGUGGAUGGGUCUAGCCACAUGGGGUUAUUUGUUUUGUUUUCAGGAUUAAGCAUGUAUUUAUUUUAGUUCAGUUAAAACAAACAUACAUUGUUUCAUUGAAACGGUGUAGCACUCUUUGCCAACAAGUCCUAGUGGAACUGUUGGCCUCCAACAGCAGAGUGGGGGUAUUUACACUAUAUACAGAAAGCUAACACACCCAGGUUCUCAAAGAUCUUUCAUUACACUAGAUCACAUUUGAUUCCGUUACCUUAGAUCACAUUUUGAAACUACUGCAUUUUGAAAAUUAGACCUUAUUUAAAAUUUAAAUAAGAGAUCUGAAUUUGCACCAAGUUUUCAUGAAAAAAGUGAUGUUCAUUCAGUCUGUUUAUUGCAAAUGCAAUUUAGGCAAUAUUUUAAAUUUUUAGUGUUUACAUAAUUAGUCAAUUUGUUUAUAUUGAAAUCUCUGUACAGGUACUUUGGGGACAAUUCUUAUAGAUACAUGUGAAUUCAUCAAAAUGCAGUUAAGAAACUUACAGGAAUAUAUACACUUGAACCCAAGACCCAAACCUGACAUUAUAUACAUCAUAUAUUACAAAUACAUAUGGACAGACAAUGUAUGUACAGAUUAUCAUAAAUAUUGAAAAAUAGGUUAGCUUUAAUGGAUUAAUGCUGUUCUAUAAAUAACAUUACAGUUAUAACUGAAACAUCCACGGAAGACAGUAAUGCAAAAUGAGGUGACGAGACAGUGGUUUUAAUACUGAAGACUGCUCAUUAAUGGGAAUUCACUGUUUUAGGAACCUCAAGGCAGACAAGAUAGCUCCAAGAAAAUCAUGCAAUGGAAUUUACCCUAGGCAGUUCAUUUUGAAUCUCAAACAGCCAAAAGAGGAUUGAAGGAG